UUAGAUGAUGGGGUCGAUAAGCAGAUGGUCUCAUAAUUUCACUCUAGCUCAGACUUGUUACUGACAAAAUGCAGAUGAUCCUGUGUAUGUCAUGCUUUAGUCUUGAAGGUCCAAAACGAAGAUUACAUAACUAAGGAUGUCAGAGCCUAUGAAUUCUGCAUCAGUGUGCGUGAAUAAUGUCAAGCUAUGUUCCUAAAGAGCUUGAACUUGAAGGGUCUUUAGAAUGUUGAGUCAUUCAACAAAGAAAGAGAGAUAUAGUAUUUGGAAAGAAACCAUUUUUUGUUCCCUUGUCCUUUUUGUGCUUGAUGACGCUACUUUUCUUUUGAUAGCAUGUAUCUGGACCUUCCUAUCGUAGUUUACUCCUUGUAUCUGUGAUCUUUAUAUGUUUCCAUCAUCUGUGGCCGUCCCAUGAUUGGCAGGUGUAACUGUAGUUGAUUUAUUUUUUAUGUGUCUCAAUUUAUUGAGUUUUUUAUUUGUAA